rnacentral:rRNA from 1 species
GGCUCAGGACGAACGCUGGCGGCGUGCCUAAUACAUGCAAGUCGAGCGGACAGAUGGGAGCUUGCUCCCUGAUGUUAGCGGCGGACGGCUGAGUAACACGUGGGUAACCUGCCUGUAAGACUGGGAUAACUCCGGGAAACCGGGGCUAAUACCGGAUGCUUGAUUGAACCGCAUGGUUCAAUUAUAAAAGGUGGCUUUAAGCUACUUCUUACAGAUGGACCCGCGGCGCAUUAGCUAGUUGGUGAGGUAACGGCUCACCAAGGCAACGAUGCGUAGCCGACCUGAGAGGGUGAUCGGCCACACUGGGACUGAGACACGGCCCAGACUCCUACGGGAGGCAGCAGUAGGGAAUCUUCCGCAAUGGACGAAAGUCUGACGGAGCAACGCCGCGUGAGUGAUGAAGGUUUUCGGAUCGUAAAACUCCGUUGUUAGGGAAGAACAAGUACCGUUCGAAUAGGGCGGUACCUUGACGGUACCUAACCAGAAAGCCACGGCUAACUACGUGCCAGCAGCCGCGGUAAUACGUAGGUGGCAAGCGUUGUCCGGAAUUAUUGGGCGUAAAGCGCGCGCAGGCGGUUUCUUAAGUCUGAUGUGAAAGCCCCCGGCUCAACCGGGGAGGGUCAUUGGAAACUGGGGAACUUGAGUGCAGAAGAGGAGCGUGGAAUUCCACGUGUAGCGGUGAAAUGCGUAGAGAUGUNGAGGAACACCAGUGGCGAAGGCGACUCUCUGGUCUGUAACUGACGCUGAG